rnacentral:rRNA from 1 species
UACGGGAGGCAGCAGUGAGGAAUAUUGGACAAUGGGUGAGAGCCUGAUCCAGCCAUCCCGCGUGAAGGACGACAGCCCUAUGGGUUUUAAACUUCUUUUGUAUGGGAAUAAACCACAUUACGCGUAAUGUUCUGAAGGUACCGUACGAAUAAGCAUCGGCUAACUCCGUGCCAGCAGCCGCGGUAAUACGGAGGAUGCGAGCGUUAUCCGGAUUUAUUGGGUUUAAAGGGUCCGUAGGCGGGUUAAUAAGUCAGCGGUGAAAACCUGCAGCUUAACUGUAGAACUGCCGUUGAUACUGUUAAUCUUGAAUAGUAUUGAAGUAGCUGGAAUGUGUAGUGCAGCGGUGAAAUGCAUAGACAUUACACAGAACCCCGAUUGCGAAGGCAGGUUACUAAAUACCGAUUGACGCUGAUGGACGAAAGCGUGGGGAGCGAACAGGAUUAGAUACCCUGGUAGUCCACGCCGUAAACGAUGGAUACUCGUUGUUGGGGAUUACCCCUCAGUGACUAAGCGAAAGUAAUAAGUAUCCCACCUGGGGAGUACGACCGCAAGGUUGAAACUCAAAGGAAUUGACGGGGGCCCGCACAAGCGGUGGAGCAUGUGGUUUAAUUCGAUGAUACGCGAGGAACCUUACCAGGGCUUAAAUGGGAAUUGACGUAUUUAGAAAUAAGUAUUUCUACGGACAAUUUUCAAGGUGCUGCAUGGUUGUCGUCAGCUCGUGCCGUGAGGUGUCAGGUUAAGUCCUAUAACGAGCGCAACCCUUAUCAUUAGUUGCCAACGAGUAAAGUCGGGAACUCUAAUGAGACUGCCGGUGCAAACCGCGAGGAAGGUGGGGAUGACGUCAAAUCAUCACGGCCCUUACGCCCUGGGCCACACACGUGCUACAAUGGCCGGUACAGAGGGCAGCUACUGGGCAACCAGAUGCGAAUCUCAAAAGCCGGUCUCAGUUCGGAUUGGAGUCUGCAACUCGACUCUAUGAAGCUGGAAUCGCUAGUAAUCGCAGAUCAGCCAUGCUGCGGUGAAUACGUUCCCGGGCCUUGUACACACCGCC